rnacentral:ncRNA from 1 species
CCUGAUGUUCCGUCAUCAGUAGCCUACCGGCACAUGCGGGACUGGUAACGGUCCGGUGUGAAGCUGCCGGGACAAAGUAGCCGGGCCUUCGGGCCGUGCCGACACCGCGAGGUCGAGGCAUUAUCUGCAAGCAUCGGCGCGGAUAGGGCG